CACAUUCGCCGAUGUCGUGGUUCUCCGGGCCUUGCGUGAGGCACCGGAGCUAAGAGGGAAUCCGGUGCGGCGUUCUUCCAGAACGCCUAUGCCGGAGCUGCCCCCGCAACUGUGAGCGGUGAGCUGUCGCCCAUUCCGUGUCACUGGAGCAUCGUGCUCCGGGAAGGCCGGGCGAAAGCAUGGACCCGCAAGCCAGGAGACCUGCCGCGGCCUGAUAACGUCCC
rnacentral:ncRNA from 1 species